rnacentral:rRNA from 1 species
UACGUAGGUGGCAAGCGUUGUCCGGAUUUACUGGGCGUAAAGGGCGCGUAGGUGGCUAUUUAAGUGGGAUGUGAAAUCCUCGGGCUUAACCUGGGUGCUGCAUUCCAAACUGGAUAUCUAGAGUGCAGGAGAGGAAAGUAGAAUUCCUAGUGUAGCGGUGAAAUGCGUAGAGAUUAGGAAGAAUACCAGUGGCGAAGGCGACUUUCUGGACUGUAACUGACACUGAGGCUCGAAAGCGUGGGGAGCAAACAGG